rnacentral:piRNA from 1 species
UAUGCACUACUGGCUCAUCCUCAUGCCUC